CCCUUAGAUGUUCUGGGCUGCACGCGCGCUACACUGAUGCACUCAACGAGUUUACGACCUUGCCCGUUAGGGUUGGGUAAUCUUUUUAAAAUGCAUCGUGAUGGGGAUAGAUUAUUGCAAUUAUUAAUCUUCAACGAGGAAUUCCUAGUAAGCGCGAGUCAUCAGCUCGUGCUGAUUACGUCCCUGCCCUUUGUACACACCGCCCGUCGCUCCUACCGAUUGAGUGCUCAGGUGAAUAAUUCGGACUGCAGCAAUGUUUGGAUCCCGAACGUUGCAGCGGAAAGUUUAGUGAACCUUAUCACUUAGAGGAAGGAGAAGUCGUAACA
rnacentral:rRNA from 1 species